rnacentral:rRNA from 1 species
CCUACGGGUGACAGCAGUGAGGAAUAUUGGUCAAUGGACGAGAGUCUGAACCAGCCAAGUAGCGUGAAGGAUGACUGCCCUAUGGGUUGUAAACUUCUUUUAUAUGGGAAUAAAAUGUUCCACGUGUGGGAUUUUGUAUGUACCAUAUGAAUAAGGAUCGGCUAACUCCGUGCCAGCAGCCGCGGUAAUACGGAGGAUCCGAGCGUUAUCCGGAUUUAUUGGGUUUUAAGGGAGCGUAGGUGGAUUGUUAAGUCAGUUGUGAAAGUUUGCGGCUCAACCGUAAAAUUGCAGUUGAAACUGGCAGUCUUGAGUACAGUAGAGGUGGGCGGAAUUCGUGGUGUAGCGGUGAAAUGCUUAGAUAUCACGAAGAACUCCGAUUGCGAAGGCAGUUCACUGGACUGCAACUGACACUGAGGCUCGAAAGUGUGGGUAUCAAACAGGAUUAGAUACCCUGGUAGUC